rnacentral:rRNA from 1 species
CCCCUAGAUGUUCUGGGCCGCACGCGCGCUACACUGAACAGUUCAACAAGUCUUAACCUUGGCCGAUAGGUCUGGGUAAUCUUUGAACGCUGUUCGUGAUUGGGAUAGACCUUUGCAAUUAUGGGUCUUCAACGAGGAAUUCCUAGUAAACGCAAGUCAUCAGCUUGCAUUGAUUACGUCCCUGCCCUUUGUACACACCGCCCGUCGCACCUACCGAUUGAAUGGUCCGGUGAAGCGUUCGGACCGUGGCCUUUGGACGGUUCGCCGUCUGUUGGCUGCGGGAAGUUCGUUAAACCUUAUCAUUUAGAGGAAGGAGAAGUCGUAACA